UGGGGAAUAUUGGACAAUGGGCGCAAGCCUGAUCCAGCCAUGCCGCGUGAGUGAUGAAGGCCCUAGGGUUGUAAAGCUCUUUCACCGGUGAAGAUAAUGACGGUAACCGGAGAAGAAGCCCCGGCUAACUUCGUGCCAGCAGCCGCGGUAAUACGAAGGGGGCUAGCGUUGUUCGGAUUUACUGGGCGUAAAGCGCACGUAGGCGGACUAUUAAGUCAGGGGUGAAAUCCCGGGGCUCAACCCCGGAACUGCCUUUGAUACUGGUAGUCUUGAGUUCGGGAGAGGUGAGUGGAAUUCCGAGUGUAGAGGUGAAAUUCGUGGAUAUUCGGAGGAACACCAGUGGCGAAGGCGGCUCACUGGCUCGAUACUGACGCUGAGGUGCGAAAGCGGGGGGAGCAAACAGG
rnacentral:rRNA from 1 species